rnacentral:lncRNA from 7 species
AUUUUGCUGAACAUCCUUGCCUACCUGAAGCCUUCCGAAGCCAUGUUCAGAGCUGUCUGCCGUUGUGAUGCUCAGCUUCCCACUGUGUUUAAAUUCAUUAAGCGAUGAGCUUUGCUGAAGCAUUCCUUUGGGCACCCACCCUUAGAAUAAAUCUUCGUGGUUUAAAAUCGAAGUGCUGAAAGAGUACAUGCUGGGUCUGCUCCCCUGACCGUGUCACCUUAGCAAACUUCUCCUCGUGAGCUGUUUAAACCUUCGAGCUUGCUUGUAUUUGCUAUGGGAAUGAAUAGGAUUGCAGGAGCUUUAGCACGCAGCAGAGACUCGUGGGCUAGCAGCUUUUGAGGUUAUACCCAUGAGUGCUCGAGCAGAGCUGGUGCAGCUAAUUCCUCUGUCUGCAGAGGGUGAAGCGAAGGCAGAGGGAGGCUGAGUGUUCAGUGCUGAUGGUCACAGAGGGAGCCAGAGACACGGCCAAGGCUGAAUCCGAAGGCUCUCAAUGUGCAGUCAGAGAACAAACAGUAUUUCCUCUUAAUUCGCCGUUUUCCCUCAUGAAAAGAAUCACGUCUCAUGGCUUUCUCUCCCCAUUGUUCCGAUGACUCACAUAAGCCACGGGCAUGAUACAGGCAAUGAAGCUUUGCAUUAAUCUACUGUCCAGAUUGAUAACUCUAAGGAGCAUCUCAUAAUGACCAAAAUGUGAUUAAUCAUGAUACACGUGUGAUACCCAUGCUCAUUAUUACUGGCCUCCAGAACAGUGCUGCUGAUUCCUGCCAAUAUGCUCAGUUUCGUAUCUGGAAGAGACAAUACUGUAAUUACUGCCAAAGUAUGCAGGAAAAUUAAGCAGCAGCUCGGUCUGCGUUCUGCAUCGGGCUAGCAGAAAGGACUAUAGAAAAGCAUGGGAAUCAACAGCCACAAGGAAUAACAAAUAUUUUCUAUGUGUACUUCAUUUUAAAUAGAUGUUGUCUGACGCAGCCAUUUAGUUUGAACUGUUGCCUUGCAGAAUUCUUUCUGGAAGAGGAAAGUGUAGGGCAUGGUGGACACAGCAACUGGAGGAAAAAAAGAAAGGAGCUGAUGAAGCGUAUUUGGAAAAGGAUCUGUCCCUCUAUGAUGUCAACACAUUUUUCUGCAGAGCUCUUUGUAUGAUGUUGCCUACCUGUAAGACAAAUUGUCUUUGUCUCGCCGUUAGAGUUCUUGUGCACCUGCGUCGAUAACUUCAUGUAGAAUACACCAAGAGAUAGCUUUUAUAUCAUGGCAUGGGGACCCACGUGCCAGUGGUCCACACAGUAGGGUGUAUAUGUUGAAAUUGACAGAUAUGGCCAUUUCCUCCCUAGGAGUGACUAAUGCCAGAGGGCAACGGUAGUUCAUUAUGCCAUGCACUGUGUCAGGGAGGUGCCCCAAGCUUAUGGUGGCCAGAAUCCCUACGAGUGAAGAACUUUUUGGUGAAUCUCCUGCUUUGUGAAGAUUGUCUUCUCAGCUGACGGAUGGAAACAUCCUGACUCAGGGAAACACAAUAAUGAGGGAUUUGUGUUUCCCCUUUGUUUGCCUUUUGCAGUGCCCAGGGGUUGGAUGUGCAGGAGCAAGUCCUUGGCCCUUCUACAUGAUGUAAAUCUACCAUAUUCUCUGUUUGUUGAAAGCAACCAGGAAGGUAUUCAGGGCCCAAGAUUCCAGUUUAGGAAGUUGUAGCAAUGAUGGGCAUCUUCCCUACUCAUUGUUUGAAAGAUUGUGAUAACAGCAACAGAAAUAAUGGCAGUCAAUGAGAAAUGAAGUUCUUAGUUCUUCUGUGCAUCAGAAUACACUGCAAGCUGAUAAGCUGUGUAUGGAAAGCAUCACAGUAGUCUGUGUAGCAAAGUACAGCCAGGGAGUACACGUGCAGUGUGCUGAGGCAUUUUUAAGCAAUAUUUAAGAGGAAAAGAGGUAACCCCUAAUCUGCUUAUCCAGUGGUGCGUGGGUAAGCGUGCUGACGCUGAGGAUGUCCCUGGAGCUAUGGCAGUAAGAAGGGAAAGCAGGGAACCUCAUUCCAGGUUAUGAAAGAACAUAAUAUGCAGGAGUGUUUUAUGUAAGUCUACGAGGAGGGAAAAUGGAUGAAAAUAGGGGAAUGGAGUUGUAGUGACUGUUACACCCACAGAAGAAGUUGACUUUAGAGGUGGUCAUAAUGUGAAUUUCCUGUGUGUGCUGUGUUUGUAAUGUGUGAAAACAAAUUUAACUCAUCAGGUGGGAAAGUUCUUACAGAACUGAUGUCUGUGGACAGAAAGGAGUUUGUAACACAGUUAAGAUGCUGCAUGUACAGAACAAAAUUUCCCUGGACUUCACUGGGCUUUGGAUCAGACCUUCCUUCUGAAUUAAAAAAAAGAAGAGUAUCACAUAAAUACAGUAUUCGUUUUGCAGAUAUUCUGCUUCAAACAGUGUAACUGAGUUCAGCCACUCUGCUUUUAUUAUUAUGACAAAUAUCUCCACAUUAGCAUAAGGGAAAACAAGGGGUGAAAUGCCAGGCGUGCUCCCACGCAUCUGAACCAACAGAAUCGCUCUCUGCAUUUUGCAGACCUUCUGCAUGAAUCAUUAUGCCCAUUCUGUGUAAUAAAUAAUAAUAAUAAUUUGUGAUGUAAAAAGUGCUCUCAAGAGAACUUUGUUUUAUUUAGCAUUUAAUAAAUGUAUUCAGCAAGGACUGCCUUGCCUAUACAC